rnacentral:lncRNA from 1 species
UAUAUAUAUAUAUAGGGUCCGGCUACUAUACUAUUAUGAGUACGAUCGCCCUCAUACUCAUAAGUUGUUUUCGAUGAUAGAGCUUCCGAAUCGACGAUCCACACCGUUAAACGUUAUUUACAGCAUUUAAAACUUCUAGAAAUCAAAUUUUAUAAUUUUUCGACAUCAUUUACCAUACGAUCAAGAGGUCACAAAUUUGACAAUUUUUAACGGCCGGUAUGGGAUACUUGCUAGUUUAACGGUGUAAAAGAAUCGAAUUUU